rnacentral:rRNA from 1 species
UACGUAGGGUGCGAGCGUUGUUCGGAAUUACUGGGCGUAAAGGGCGCGUAGGCGGCCUUCUAAGUCGAACGUGAAAUCCCCGGGCUCAACCCGGGAACUGCGUCCGAUACUGGGAGGCUUGAAUCCGGGAGAGGGAUGUGGAAUUCCAGGUGUAGCGGUGAAAUGCGUAGAUAUCUGGAGGAACACCGGUGGCGAAGGCGACAUCCUGGACCGGUAUUGACGCUGAGGCGCGAAAGCCAGGGGAGCAAACAGG